GAGAACAUGACGGUACCUAAGGAGGAAGCCCCGGCUAACUACGUGCCAGCAGCCGCGGUAAUACGUAGGGGGCAAGCGUUGUCCGGAAUUAUUGGGCGUAAAGGGCGCGUAGGCGGAUAUUUAAGUCCGGUGUGAAAGAUCAAGGCUCAACCCUGAAAGUGCAUCGGAAACUGGUUAUCUUGAGGACAGGAGAGGAAAGUGGAAUUCCAGGUGUAGCGGUGAAAUGCGUAAAUAUGUGGAGGAACACCAGUGGCGAAGGCGACUUUCUGGACUGUAACUGACGCUGAGGCGCGAAAGCGUGGGGAGCAAACAGGAUUAGAUACCCUGGUAGUCCACGCCGUAAACGAUGAG
rnacentral:rRNA from 1 species